CCUACGGGAGGCAGCAGUGAGGAAUAUUGGUCAAUGGGCGCUAGCCUGAACCAGCCAAGUAGCGUGAAGGAUGACUGCCCUAUGGGUUGUAAACUUCUUUUAUAUGGGAAUAAAGUACAGUAUGUAUACUGAUUUGCAUGUACCUUAUGAAUAAGGAACGGCCAACUCCGUGCCAGCAGCCGCGGUAAUACGGAGGAUCCGAGCGUUAUCCGGAUUUAUUGGGUUUAAAGGGAGCGUAGGCGGGUUGUUAAGUCAGUUGUGAAAGUUUGGGGCUCAACCGUAAAAUUGCAGUUGAUACUGGCAUGCUUGAGUACAGGAGAGGUAGGCGGAAUUCGUGGUGUAGCGGUGAAAUGCGUAGAUAUCACGAGGAACUCCGAUUGCGAAGGCAGCCUGCUGGACUGUAACUGACGCUGAUGCUCGAAAGUGUGGGGAUCAAACAGGAUUAGAUACCCCUGUAGUC
rnacentral:rRNA from 1 species